rnacentral:rRNA from 1 species
GAUGAACGCUGGCGGCGUGCCUAAUACAUGCAAGUCGAGCGAACGGACGCGAAGCUUGCUUUUCUGAUGUUAGCGGCGGACGGGUGAGUCACACGUGGAUAACCUACCUAUAAGACUGGGAUAACUUCGGGAAACCGGAUCUAAUACCGGAUAAUAUUUUGCACCGCAUGGUUCAAAAGUGAAAGACGGUCUUGCUGUCACUUAUAGAUGGAUCCGCGCUGCAUUAGCUAGUUGGUAAGGUAACGGCUUACCAAGGCAACGAUGCAUAGCCGAGCUGAGAGGGUGAUCGGCCACACUGGAACGGAGACAGCGUCCAGACUCCUACGGGAGGCAGCAGUAGGGAAUCUUCCGCAAUGGGCGAAAGCCUGACGGAGCAACGCCGCGUGAGUUAUGACGGUCUUCGGAUCGUAAAACUCUGUUAUUAGGGAAGAACAUAUGUGUAAGUAACUGUGCACAGCUUGACGGUACCUAGUCAGAAAGCAACGGCUAACUACGUG